AAUGAUGAGAGAUUUAAUGUGAAUUGGCUGGAUGACACUAAUCGACAAUCAAUUUACGACCUUAUGAUUAUUGAUAAUGGCCCUCGGCAACUAAUAACAGAUUACACCACAGAUAACAAAACUCUGAUUGACCACUUAUACACCAACGUAAAGAAAGAUGAGCUUCAAACAGGUACUCUCGAAACUUACUUCAGUGACCAUAAGGAAAUCUGGGCUUAAAUUAAGAUUGCUAGCAGCGUAUUUUACAAUUAACCCCAUCAAACGAAUCCUAGAACAUCAAACAGCUCAGUCUUCAAAAUGCUUGGGUCUGCUCUCAAUAAGCAAUGUUGUCGAUGUGUGAUUGUGACGGUUAACCUCAGCGAGGAAUAUAUUUUGUAAUUAACUAUAAAGAUGUUUGUGAAAACUUACUUGUUUAUUUUGAUGCCUUUAAAGUUUGAUGUUGGGUACGAUAAAUAUAUGUAUAACACCAUUUAAACGUCUUCAUAAAUUUAUUUUAUUUCAUUACUUGUGUCAGAUAUGUAUUAAUGUGUAAGGGCGUCCAAUCAAGCUGCCCAAAUGUACACUCUGCGUACCUUCUUUUUUAAUGCCUGCAUUAAAAGUUUAAAGUUUAAAGUUUUAAAGUUUAGACUGUGGAAAAUAUGAUUUCGAAAAAAAUUUCGUAAAAAAAGAAAAAACAAAGUUUUUUCUGCGGUUUGAAUUAGCUUGCUUUUGAGUAAUUUCCGCGCGCUUCUGAGGGGACUUAAAACGAGAGGUUUGUGACGUCAUUUAAGGAACGUUUGAAUGCGCUGCAUACAAAACAACACAGUGUGAAAUAACAAUUCUUUAUAUAUUGCUUUGAAAUUAAUAUAAAAAUUGUACGAAACAUGUCGACAUCCGAUUCUGAGUCGAGUACAGCAACAACAGCGGAAAAUAUUGAAUUGAACAGUCGGGAAUUCGAUUUAGAAGACGAAGAUCAAUCGUCAUCAAAUGCGCUCCGAAACACCGAUGGCGAUUUUGAGUACGGCCAAGCUGAAGCGUAUGAAAACGAACCACUUGCUGAUGAUGACUGGUUAGAAAACUAUAAUAGAGAGACAGAAGAAGAAAGGCGCCAAAGAGAAGAGCUCGAACGCAGAAUGCAAAAUGAAGUUCCUCUUGAUUCUUGAAUGUAGAUGUUGCCACGAAAUUUCCAAUUGCAUGAUUGAAAUGCAAGAUCAUAUGGUGGUAUCCGAAUUAGGAAGGCAGCCAAAAUGCAUCGCAGAGCAUCCAGGAUUUCAUGCCAUUUGCCUCAAUCGAUGGGCAUUAAAUUUAGCUGCCAAUCUUUACCAAAGACGAGAUGGAGUUAGAUAUCGUAAAGGAUUCUUGGAGCAAAGGUUUUUUCGAGUUGUUGCAUAUAGACAAUUAACAAGAAUGGUACAUGGCAUUCUUCGAGACAAAAGAAUUCCACUUCCAGCUUGUGCUUACCAUGUUAUUCGAACAACUUUUAAUUUAAAAAAAAUGAACACUUUGCAGAGUAUGAAGAGGACCAUUUGUAAAAUAACAUAACAUUAUAUAUCAUUUUAGGUGUUGUUUGCAUGAGCCCAGCUAGUAGGGAUUCAGUGAAGUGUGGAAUGAUUUAAGCCACUCUUGAUAUAUUGCAUCUUUGAUUCACACUUAUACUUGUUAUACAAAACAUACAAAAUUACAAUUCCUUUCUCUUUAUUCUUUCCAUGCAGUCAAUUCACACUUCACUGAAUCCCAACUAAGUGGGCUCAUACCACCAGGUCCUAAAAAACUGGUUACUUUUGGUUUUUUGGACAGUUAAUUAUAUUUUUAUGGCCAUUCAUCCAAUUCUUGCACACAGUGCAUC